rnacentral:tRNA from 1 species
GGAGGGAUGGCUGAGUGGACGAAAGCACCGGUCUUGAAAACCGGCGACCCGCAAGGGUCCGUGGGUUCGAAUCCCACUCCCUCCGCCA